rnacentral:rRNA from 1 species
AGUACAUACAAAUUACGAAAGCAAAAAAUUAUGGCGGUAUUUUAAGCUUUUCAGAGGAAUUUGCUCUUUAAUGGAUAAAACACCUAAAUCUUACUUAAAUUUGUUAAUACAAUUUGUAUACCACUAUUAAAAUAAUUAUUAACUUUAAUUAUUUAAAUUUACAAUAAAUAAAAAAAAUUAAGUCAAGGUGCAGUAUAAAUUUAAGAAUGAAGUGAAUUACAUUUCUUUUAAGAGAGGAAAAAUUAAAAUGCAGUUAGGAUUUGAAAGUAAAAUUAAAAUAGAAUGUUAAUUUGAAUCAAGCUCUAAAAUAUGUACAUA